CCUACGGGAGGCAGCAGUAGGGAAUAUUGCUCAAUGGGGGAAACCCUGAAGCAGCAACGCCGCGUGGAGGAUGAAGGUUUUCGGAUUGUAAACUCCUUUUGUUAGAGAAGAUAAUGACGGUAUCUAACGAAUAAGCACCGGCUAACUCCGUGCCCGCAGCCGCGGUAAUCCGGAGGGUGCAAGCGUUACUCGGAAUCACUGGGCGUAAAGAGCGCGUAGGCGGGAUAGCAAGUCAGAUGUGAAAUCCUAUGGCUUAACCAUUGAAACGCAUUUGAAACUGUUAUUCUCGAGGAUGGGAGAGGGAGGUGGAAUUUCUGGGGUAGGGGGUAAAUCCGGAGAGAAUAAGGGGAAGA
rnacentral:rRNA from 1 species